rnacentral:piRNA from 1 species
UAGACCUAUGUUGAUUAAACUCCAAGAGGGUA